rnacentral:rRNA from 1 species
UCAGUUAGGGACUUAAGGACAGCAUGUUUUCCUUGUAACGUUGUCCUUGUAGCAGGGUGGCCACCCAGAAAUCAGCACAGGUUAGAAUGUGGGCAACUCGGCAGUCGUUGCACAGACACUUUGGUGACUCUAGAUAACCUCAGGCUGAUCGCACGUCCCCGUGACGGCGACAACGCAUUCGGAUGUCUGCCCUAUCAACUUUCGAUGGUACUUUCUGCGCCUACCAUGGUGACCACGGGUAAUGGGGAAUCAGGGUUUGAUUCCG